rnacentral:rRNA from 1 species
GAAUGGCUCAUUAAAUCAGUUAUCGUUUAUUUGAUAGUACCUUACUACUUGGAUAACCGUGGUAAUUCUAGAGCUAAUACAUGCUAAAAACCCCAACUUCGGGAGGGGUGUAUUUAUUAGAUAAAAAACCAAUGCCCUUCGGGGCUCCUUGGUGAAUCAUAAUAACUUAACGGAUCGCAUGGCCUUGCGCCGGCGACGGUUCAUUCAAAUUUCUGCCCUAUCAACUUUCGAUUGUAGGGUAUUGGCCUACAAUGGUAUCAACGGGUAACGGGGAAUUAGGGUUCGAUUCCGGAGAGGGAGCCUGAGAAACGGCUACCACAUCCAAGGAAGGCAGCAGGCGCGCAAAUUACCCAAUCCCGACGCGGGGAGGUAGUGACAAUAAAUACUGAUACAGGGCUCUUUUGGGUCUUGUAAUUGGAAUGAGUACAAUUUAAAUCCCUUAACGAGGAACAAUUGGAGGGCAAGUCUGGUGCCAGCAGCCGCGGUAAUUCCAGCUCCAAUAGCGUAUAUUAAAGUUGUUGCAGUUAAAAAGCUCGUAGUUGAACCUUGGGCCUGGCUGGCCGGUCCGCCUCACCGCGUGCACUGGUCCGGCCGGGCCUUUCCUUCUGGAGAGCCGCAUGCCCUUCACUGGGUGUGUCGGGGAACCAGGACUUUUACUUUGAAAAAAUUAGAGUGUUCAAAGCAGGCCUUUGCUCGAAUACAUUAGCAUGGAAUAAUAGAAUAGGACGUGCGGUCCUAUUUUGUUGGUUUCUAGGACCGCCGUAAUGAUUAAUAGGGAUAGUCGGGGGCAUCAGUAUUCAAUUGUCAGAGGUGAAAUUCUUGGAUUUAUUGAAGACUAACUACUGCGAAAGCAUUUGCCAAGGAUGUUUUCAUUAAUCAGUGAACGAAAGUUAGGGGAUCGAAGACGAUCAGAUACCGUCGUAGUCUUAACCGUAAACUAUGCCGACUAGGGAUCGGGCGAUGUUAUUAUUUUGACUCGCUCGGCACCUUACGAGAAAUCAAAGUUUUU